rnacentral:tRNA from 2 species
GCACUUAUAGUUCAGUUGGAUAGAGCGUUGGACUUCGAAUCCAGAAGUCGUGAGUUCGAAUCUCACUAAGUGCACCA